rnacentral:rRNA from 1 species
UCGCAGAUCAGAAUGCUGCGGUGAAUGCGUUCCCGGGUCUUGUACACACCGCCCGUCACACCACGGGAGUUGGAGACGCCCGAAGCCGAUUAUCUAACCUUUUGGAAGAAGUCGUCGAAGGAGGAAUCCAUCACUGAGUGGAAGUAGUAAAAAGGUAGCCGGAGCGGAAGGGGCGGCUGGAUCACCUCCUUUCGAAGGAGA